rnacentral:rRNA from 1 species
UACGUAGGGUGCGAGCGUUAAUCGGAAUUACUGGGCGUAAAGCGUGCGCAGGCGGUUUUGUAAGCCAGAUGUGAAAGCCCCGGGCUCAACCUGGGAAUGGCAUUUGGGACUGCAAGGCUUGAGUGUGGCAGAGGAGACUGGAAUUCCUGGUGUAGCAGUGAAAUGCGUAGAUAUCAGGAGGAAUACCGAUGGCGAAGGCAGGUCUCUGGGCUAACACUGACGCUCAUGCACGAAAGCGUGGGGAGCAAACAGG